rnacentral:rRNA from 1 species
UGGCGGACGGGUGAGUAACGCGUAAAGAACUUGCCCUUUAGACUGGGAUAACAGAGGGAAACUUCUGAUAAUACUGGAUAAGUUAGUAUAUCGCAUGAUAUACAAAUGAAAGCUACGGCACUAAAGGAGAGCUUUGCGUCCUAUUAGCUAGUUGGUAAGGUAAGAGCUUACCAAGGCGAUGAUAGGUAGCCGGCCUGAGAGGGUGGACGGCCACAAGGGGACUGAGAUACGGCCCUUACUCCUACGGGAGGCAGCAGAU